rnacentral:rRNA from 1 species
UACAGAGGGGGCAAGCGUUGUUCGGAAUUACUGGGCGUAAAGGGCGCGUAGGCGGCCCUCUAAGUCAGGCGUGAAAUCCCUCGGCUCAACCGGGGAACUGCGUCUGAGACUGGAAGGCUUGAAUUCGGGAGAGGGAUGUGGAAUUCCAGGUGUAGCGGUGAAAUGCGUAGAUAUCUGGAGGAACACCGGUGGCGAAGGCGGCAUCCUGGACCGAUAUUGACGCUGAUGCGCGAAAGCCAGGGGAGCAAACGGG